rnacentral:rRNA from 1 species
UACGGGGGGGGUAAGCGUUGUUCGGAAUUACUGGGCGUAAAGAGCUCGUAGGCGGUGUGUCGCGUCGGCCGUGAAAACCUGCAGCUUAACUGUGGGCGUGCGGUCGAUACGGGCAUCACUGGAGUUCGGCAGGGGAGACUGGAAUUCCUGGUGUAGCGGUGAAAUGCGCAGAUAUCUGGAGGAACACCGGUGGCGAAGGCGGCAUCCUGGACCAACACUGACGCUGAGGAGCGAAAGCCAGGGGAGCAAACGGG